rnacentral:rRNA from 1 species
AUGGCAAUCCUCAGAAGGAGCAGGAACGCCCUGUGCUUGGUGGCCCUAGUGAUCAUGGCUACCUGCACCGUUCUGUCAUCAGCUAAUGGACCGCCUGGUACAAUCAAUUGCAUGCCGCCGACUGGCAGCUGCGACCCGGCGCACUGCACUAAAUUUUGCGCGCCGAACUAUCAUGGUCAUUGCGCGGUGGGCGGCAUAGGGGCCCCAUCUUGUUGCUGCUACAAUCCGACGAGUGCGUCAGUUGGGGUGGCUCACCCUGCUGCACCCUCACAUGCAUGA